rnacentral:lncRNA from 1 species
CCCAGAGCAAGGAAGAAUUUAUUGCGGAGGGUAAUGGAGUGGGAUCGUGGCUAUCGUCAUGGCUCGCCACGUGGAAUCAGUUACGGGGAGUGGAGCGGCGUCCGCUGUCGUGACUCAUCAUGGAGUGGUGGGGUCGCACAGGAUCCGCCGCAGGGAGUGGGGCAGAAUCGUGGCCAUUAAUACGGCCUGUCAGGGAGUAAUGGAG